UCCCAGAAGGCAGACGACGUCCAGGGCCCAUCACGUCUCUUUAUCACUUUUCCAGCCCAGCUUUCUGGUUCUAGCCGUUGGACGGAGAAUUGAUAAGGGUACGGGGUCGGCAGGAGCAUCCUCCGGGA
rnacentral:pre_miRNA from 1 species